GCCGGGCGCGGUGGCGGGCUCCUGUAGUCCCAGCUACCGGGAGGCUGAGGCAGGAGAAUGGCGUGAACCCAGGAGGCGGGCUUGCAGUGAGCUGAGAUCCAGCCACUGCACUCCAGCCUGGGCAACAGAGCCAGACUCCGUCUCAA
rnacentral:sRNA from 1 species